AUUGAACGCUGGCGGCAUGCUUUACACAUGCAAGUCGAACGGCAGCGCGGGCUUCGGCCUUGCGGCGAGUGGCGAACGGGUGAGUAAUACAUCGGAACGCCCCCAGUAGUGGGGUAUAGCCCGGCGAAAGCCGGAUUAAUACCGCACACGACCUGAGGGAGAAAGCGGGGGCUUUUCGGACCUCGCGCUUUUGGAGCGGCCGAUGGGAGAUUAGCUAGUUGGUGGGGUAAAGGCCUACCAAGGCGACGAUCUGUAGCUGGUCUGAGAGGACGACCAGCCACACUGGGACUGAGACACGGCCCAGACUCCUACGGGAGGCAGCAGUGGGGAAUUUUGGACAAUGGGCGAAAGCCUGAUCCAGCAAUGCCGCGUGUGUGAUGAAGGCCUUCGGGUUGUAAAGCACUUUUGGCGGGAACGAAAAGGACUGUGCCAAUACCACGGUUCGAUGACGGUACCCGAAGAAUAAGCACCGGCUAACUACGUG
rnacentral:rRNA from 1 species